rnacentral:rRNA from 1 species
UACGGAGGGGGCUAGCGUUGUUCGGAAUUACUGGGCGUAAAGCGCACGUAGGCGGCUUUGUAAGUUAGAGGUGAAAGCCCAGGGCUCAACCCUGGAAUUGCCUUUAAGACUGCAUCGCUUGAAUCCGGGAGAGGUGAGUGGAAUUCCGAGUGUAGAGGUGAAAUUCGUAGAUAUUCGGAAGAACACCAGUGGCGAAGGCGCUCACUGGACCGGCAUUGACGCUGAGGU